ensembl:lncRNA
UUGGAAAUCUCUCCUUUUUUAUGGGGUCCCCAUCAUUCAAAGAAGUCCUCGUGGCCACCUGCUCUACAGUGGGCACUGUAGCCCCUCAGUCUGACAGUGCUUGGGGGUAGAGGGAGGCUCCUGGCUCCCUGGUGCAGAGCCAUUGGUACUUCUUUGCCGCUCUCUGCUCCCUCCUUCAUGCUCUGGAAAACCUCCCCUGCAGCUUUUCCAGUCUUCAGGUUUUUUCAACCUGAGAGAUCCCUACUGCCGCCUGCUGAGCAUGGAAUACAGCAGCCUGCAUGACCCACAUCUGCAGGCCUACCACCAUCGCAAGGACCACCUGCAGAUGCUGAAGAGAGAGGGUUCCAUCACCUAUGAUGGCAAAAGCACUGUCCUGGGCCCAUGGGAUGCCUCAGCAUGCGGAGGCAUGAACGCUUGUCCAGCAGCAGUAAGCUACAACCUGUGUCACCUGUCAGCACAAGCUUUGGCAAGAAGUGGACAAAUUAGAGGGUGUCACUGAACUGCCGGAUGAGCUGCACGUUUCUCAGCUGCGAGAGUGGCUGCUGCACGAGCAAAGAAAGAGGUUGCCAAGGGGAGAGAGGAAGAGGAGAGAGAGGAUCCUCGCUGACAUCGAGGAACGGAUCGGCAGAUUGGAGGCACUGGACAAAGUGCAACGCUUCCUCCAGCAGGUCGACUGCAAAAUGCAUCUGGGAAAGAGGAGAGACACAGUCAGCACACUACAGGGUGUGCCUUCCCAGUGUGCCAAAGAAGAAGCACCUGAGAACUUACCCCAGCUGCAGGUUUUACUGACUGAAGAAGAGGAGGAGCUUCAAGAGUUGGCUGAGGACAAGGUCGAGAUAGUGACAGCACAGGAUCAGUCCGACCUUGCCUCCAGAAAGGCUCCCCAUGGGGUCAAAGGAGGGUUGUUUGUCAGGACCAGUGAAGCAGAGCUUUUGCAGAUUAAUGUGGAUCUCCAGGACAAAACUAGACUGGUGGCUCAGGAGAUUGUGACAGCAGUGUUGGAGAUCUUGUUGGAGCAUUUGGCGUCCAGUGGGCCAGGUGCCAGAAGAGCCUCCACAGAGCAAAUCUGGAGAGGAACCAGCAGCUUCCAGCAGAGCACCUUUGCAGACUUGUAUUGCUGAAACGACUGUAGAGGCUGUUGAAAGUGUUGGCUGCAUCUUGUCAUCCUUUGUAGGAUGCUGUCCGUUUUCUAAGUUCCUGAAUCGUCAGGAUGAGUCAAGGCCAGCAUCACCCAGACCAUUGGAACAGCAGAUCCCAGGAGCAAGCAAGGCAACGUCCAUGCAAAGCCCUGCUACUGUCUCCAGAGCUGAGCCAGCAGGAUGCAGAGAUUGAGUAUGUCAGAGCCGUUGUCCUUGAAGCUCUGGAAACUGUGAAGGAGAAGUUAAAGAAGAAAAGUAAGCACGUGCCAAAGCCCCCUGUGCAGGCAGGAGCCCCACACAGGCUGUAGGAGCCUCUGCGGCCCAACUCGUUAAAGAGGGAAGUAGCGGGAAACCCAAAGAGAUGUGUGGCUCUAGUGCCACAGAGGCCCUGGGCAGCUCCAAGAAUAAACAGUUUAUUCCCCAGGGCUUGCUUGUGCCUAUUUAUUCACACCAGGUAGGUAGCCUGCUGCUGAUGUAGAAAAGGCAGUGGGACUUAACACUGCUGACAGCUGAGCCACUGGACUCUUGACUAAAAUGCAAAUAAUAUGCAGUAUGAAACUGAGUAUUGCAAGUGACCAUUAGGCAAAACAGCAUAGCAUAAUCCCAAAGCCACUUCUCCCUUCUUUCCUUUCCCUGCCCACCAUUUCGUACCAAAUUGAAUGGUGCAGCUGACAUGAGGAUGGGAUACCAUCCAGAGGGACUUGGACAGGCUCAAGAAGCGGGUCCAUUAAACCUCAUCAGGUUUGACAAGGCUGGCAACAGGUUUGAGGUCUGGCUGUGUGUGCUGGCAUGGCACCACAUAGCACUGCCUGGCACGCAGCCUGUGGCACAACACGCAUGGCAUGUCAUGGCACAGCAUGGAACUGCGUGGCAGGCUGUUACAUGGCACGUAUAUGGCGUGAUAUGAGAUGUGAUGGCAUGGAAUGGGAUGGAAUGGGACAGAAUGGGAUGCUACAGCAUGGCAUGGGGCAGAACAGAAUGGCAUAGUGCAGGAUGGCAUGUCAUGGGAUGGGAUGGCAUGAGAUAGCGUGGCAUGGGAUGACAUGUGAUAGGAUGGCACGCGACGACACGGACACACCACCAGCCACGUCCUUGCACCGCCUCCGUUCCAGCGCGCCAUGGCGCGCUGCGCGCAGCAGGCAGCUCGGCCAAUCAGCGCAGCCCACAUCCCGCCAGGGACCGCCCCCGCCGGCUGCCGAUGGCCGCCGGGAGGCCCGUACCACUGCUGCCACGCAGGGGAGUCGCCGCUGCCUGUUCUUCGGCUGUCCUGCGGCCGCCCAGCCCUCUCCCGCCUCCCGCUCUCCCUCCCCGCGGUCUGCUCUCUGUCACAGCUCCGCGGCGUUCGUAGCGGGUUCCUGUGGGUCUGAGGCGCCCUCGAGAAAUGCGCUGUCCCUGCCGCCCCCUCCUUGACUCGGGGGCGAUGGUGCGGGCCAGGCCGAGGCGGGGCGCGGGGCGGAAGCG